rnacentral:rRNA from 1 species
UACAGAGGUGGCAAGCGUUGUUCGGAUUUACUGGGCGUAAAGGGCGCGUAGGCGGCCACCGCAAGUCGACUGUGAAAUCUCCGGGCUUAACUCGGAAAGGUCAGCCGAUACUGCGGGGCUAGAGUGCAGAAGGGGCAACUGGAAUUCUCGGUGUAGCGGUGAAAUGCGUAGAUAUCGAGAGGAACACCUGCGGCGAAGGCGGGUUGCUGGGCUGACACUGACGCUGAUUGUGCGAAAGCUAGGGGAGCGAACGGG